AUUGAUUAAUUACAGAACCACCUUCAGGAGAUUCCUAGUCUUUAGAAUUAUGAAAUGUAUCCAAACCAUCCAAACCGUCUAUAGUAUAAAGUUGACUCACAGCAAUUUGUGUAUAAGUUAUCAAACUUAAUCAUGUAAACAAAUGAGAUUCGCGAAUAUUCCAAACACAAAUUGACUUCUCCUAUCCCGUUCCUCAUUCGCCAGUUAUUCAAAUUCUUUUGUAUAAUAAAGGUUGACAUUCUUUCAUACACUAUUGCUCACUUACGGAAAAUUGGUGUGAGCAGAAUCUUGACAAAGGCACAAUGCAGAAUUUUUUAUGAACAUAAUUAAGAAUUUUACAACGGAAGGAAAAUUUGUACAUUUCAUGGGGAGUCUGCCCAAGCGCUUCACAAUAUUCUUUGACCACAAACAGCCAGUUUGAUUUGGAGAAGAAUCCCCAACUCAACAGCUAAGAUUAGAACAAAAAUUGCCAGCAAAUAUUGAAUUGAAUAUACGUUAUUUAGAAUGGAUAAUGAAAUAUUUAAAUUUAAAACAGAUGCGAUUAACAUCAAAGUGAUAUUACUGGCUAUCCUUUGCGACAUCAUAGAGUACCGCACCCUUUAGCAGCAAUUAGACCGAAGGGUGGUUUUAAUGCAUCCUGCAUUUCAUCUAGUAGUCAUUGAAUAAUUAUUUGCCAUUAGGCCAACAUUUUUGAAUUAUUGACAUUUACCUUUGAUAGCGUGGGCGUUGCAACGUUUACAAUCGCUUGCUAUUCAAAUAAAAAGAAAUACCCCCAAGAACGGCAAAUUAUAAUUUCUUGUCCUUAUAUAGACGAUUUAUCAGCAGAAGCAUAUUCUUGGAGCAAUUAACGAAAACAAAAAAUAAAAUAAAAAGUAUUCCAAAGAAACUUGAAUUACGCAAGUGAUUUUUGAACUCUUAUGAAAUAGUAAAGAACAUUUCACAUA